UGUUUACAGCGAGCUUGUCGAACCUGUCGAUGGAUCGAAGGGAUAAGGUGCAAUUUGGGAAUGCUGUGAAAAUCAGCAACUGUGCCGCAACUGUAAUUAGUUAAGCGUAUAGAUAAUAGCGUAUAGUGUUUAGUUUCUAAAAUUUUAACUAUACGCUGUACCCUAUACGCUAUAACCUUAACUAAAAGUCAGGAGACCGACCACAUGAAAGUGACUAGU
rnacentral:ncRNA from 2 species